ensembl:snRNA
AAAAAGGGCUUCUGUUGUGAGUGGCACAACUGGGGCAACUUGCCUACUCUUCGUUUGGAAUUGACAUCAAGAGAUUUUGGAAGCAUAAUUUUUUGGUACCUGGGCAGCUGAUGAUCAUUGAUUCUGGUGUCCCC